UACGAAGGGGGCUAGCGUUGUUCGGAUUACUGGGCGUAAAGCGCACGUAGGCGGAUUGGUCGAGUUAGGGGUGAAAUCCUGGAGCUCAACUCCAGAACUGCCUUUAAUACUGCCAAUCUCGAGUCCGGAAGAGGUAAGUGGAACUCCUAGUGUAGAGGUGGAAUUCGUAGAUAUUAGGAAGAACACCCGUGGCGAAGGCGGUUCUCUGGGACGGUACUGACGCUGAGACGCGAAAGCGUGGGGAGCGAACAGG
rnacentral:rRNA from 1 species